rnacentral:misc_RNA from 1 species
CUUCAGAUGAUGAUCCCAAGCCUUCUGGCGAUCUAUGAAAAUGAGCCUCUGUUUGGCUUUUAGGAAGAUGUUUUUCCAUUUUGUAAGAUUAUGCCGGGGAAGGUUUUCCGGUUUAUCCCGGAGGGCUUGUAGCUCAGUUGGUUAGAGCGCGCGCUUGAUAAGCGUGAGGUCGGAGGUUCAAGUCCUCCCAGGCCCACCAUUUGUGGGUGCUUGUAGAGUGCUUGUUAUGUGUGAACGUUGAGAGUGUGACGUUUUUCAAUUACGUUGAAGUUGUAGGAAUUCAGGUUCGUUUGUGAGUUUCAGUCAUUUAUUUUUAGGGGCCGUAGCUCAGCUGGGAGAGCACCUGCUUUGCAAGCAGGGGGUCGUCGGUUCA